GUACCAACCUGGAAGGGAGAAAUCUUCUGUAGACAGAGAACCUCAGGCAACUAAGAAGGAGUCUUAGUCAUCGGAAUCCCUAGAUGAAAAUCACUUGAAGAGCACCAAACUACUUGAUGCACCUGCCUGAAGAAAGAAUUUAAAGGCCAGACCUCACUUUAUCACAGAAUGCCACCAAGACUGCCUAGUAAUUCUUUGUUUCAGAUUUUAUUGAGAGGAGUAGUAAACAGGCUCUGUAAAUCAAAUUGAUGUUUGGUAAUAAAAUAUGAGGCUGUCGUCAUUCCUGAAAUGAUGAACAUUUGUUUUACUGAAAUCGAAUUUGUUCUUUGGGAGUCCAUUUCUGUAUAUUCCUGUAUGGAUAAUGACUUCUGCCGCGGUGCUGAAUCACAGAACAUUUUUUAAAGGGCAUUAUAAAUGGCAAUUAAAUUCAAUAGUUGUAUACCAAAAAUAUUCAAAGUUCAGCAGAAGUGAUGGCAAUGUGACAAGGGGAUGAUAAACCAUAUCAGAAUAACUACCAAUGAGUCAUUCCAAUUUCAUCCCCACUUCGGAGGUAUUAAAAUAUGAGGCACUGUUUUU
ensembl:lincRNA Gm12670 predicted gene 12670